rnacentral:rRNA from 1 species
GGAGGAAAAGAAACUAACUAGGAUUCCCUUUAGUAACGGCGAGUGAACCGGGAUGAGCUCAAAUUUGAAAUCUGGCGUCUUUCAGGCGUCCGAGUUGUAAUCUAUAGAGGCGUUUUCCGCGCCGGACCGCGUCCAAGUCUCUUGGAAUAGAGUAUCAAAGAGGGUGACAAUCCCGUACUUGACGCGACAACCGGUGCUCUGUGAUACGUUCUCAACGAGUCGAGUUGUUUGGGAAUGCAGCUCUAAAUGGGUGGUAAAUUCCAUCUAAGGCUAAAUAUUGGCGAGAGACCGAUAGCGAACAAGUACCGUGAGGGAAAGAUGAAAAGCACUUUGGAAAGAGAGUUAAACAGCACGUGAAAUUGUUAAAAGGGAAACGAUUGAAGUCAGUCGUGUGAAAGGUAUUCAGCCGUCUCUGGCGGUGUAUUUGCCUUUCACGGGUCAACAUCAGUUUAGUCCGGUAGAAAAAGGCUGGAGGAAGGUGGCACCCUCGGGUGUGUUAUAGCCUCCUGUCACAUGUGCCGGAUUAGACUGAGGAACGCAGCUUGCCGCAAGGCCGGGGUUCGCCCACGUACAAGCUUAGGAUGUUGACAUAAUGCUUAACAG